GGAGAGACUUGCUGUACUCAAACAUUCCUGCAAUGGCAAGUACUGUAUAUCAGAGGAGACUUGUGGUAUACUGUCACUGCAGUGGAGUAUUUUGGUUUGCCUCCUGGACUGGUCAGAAUGUGGCUGCUCUAUCCUACAUGGGCAAGGGUAAAGAAUAGCCCUGAGAUACUCCAGAAGAGACAGCAUGUGAUCUGGUGGUGGGAUUCAGAGGUCUGAAGUCUCUCUCUUGCUCUGUCAAGCACGUGCUCUUCAGGUUUGGUGCGGACUUGUCUGCUGGAGCUGGACCCUGCAGCUGCCCUGACAGUAUCUGGACCCAAACUGCUCAAGCAGCAAGUCUCCCAGCUCAGGCAGCACCACAAGCCAGUGCCUGCUCAGCUAUAUCCAGCCCUGAAGGAUUGAAGCUCCCAGUGUCUGCCAAGUAUAAAACAUGGAGAACGUGGCCCUGGCAGACCAGGCCACACAGCAGCUUCCAUGUGUGGGUGCUCCCUCCAAGUCCUUCUCAACAGCAGUCUGAACUCAGCGGUUCACAAACACAAAGUUGUGCUAUGGGAAGAUUACUGACGGCUCAUUGACAAGAACUGGAAUAUGCAACCUGCAUACAAGGACGUUUUGAUAUCUUUGUCCUGGUGAAGUGAGGAGUCUGGAAUUAAACUACAUGUAAUACACACCAGGGCAUAGGACAGCACUCAGUCUUGUGUGUUGGUGCUCACCGCACCUUACCAUUUAAAGGAUCUCCCUGCUCAGCACUGUGAAAAGACUCCCACAUCAGCCUGCUGGGCAGACAUUUCCUUUCCAGAGAAUACAGAGGUGAUAUGUUCAUGUUAAGAGCGAAAAUGCAAGUCCUGCUGAGAGACUGGAACUCUUAUGAUUGCUGGAUGAGGAUUUUGCUGCGCCAUUCAACCCUACCCGCAGCGGCCCACGUUCUGCAGUCUGGCUGGGUGCUACGUACAGCGUGUCUUUGGUGAAUCACUUGUGACUCUAUCCCUGUCGCUGGAUCUCGGAAUGGAUGACCUUAGAGAUUUUGCAGCCCACCUAAGCCUUCCUAAUUAACAUGUUCUCAAGUUCUCUUUGCCUCCCUACUCGUGAUAUUUGUGGUAUUUCAUUGCUACAUCUUGUGGUGGCCAUCAAGGGACAUUGCAAUUGGAAAUGAGUCUGUGCAUUGGAGAGAUGGACAAACCCACCUUCAGUGCUGCUGCGGUUGCCCAGAAGUCAGUGAAGUGACAUGAAGAGGGAACAGCGGCCAUUAGAUUUCUUCACAAAGCGAGCUUCCUCGUUCUCUGUCCAUCAUAACUUCAGUAAAGCCAGUGGUCUGGAUUCUGCAGAAAAAUGAGACCAUUACCCAACAGGUAAAUGAUUUCCAUUGCUGGACUCCACGAUCACACCUAGUUAUUCUGCAU
rnacentral:lncRNA from 1 species